GUGGGGAAUAUUGGACAAUGGGGGGAACCCUGAUCCAGCCAUGCCGCGUGUGUGAAGAAGGCCUUUUGGUUGUAAAGCACUUUAAGCGAGGAGGAGGCUACCGAGAUUAAUACUCUUGGAUAGUGGACGUUACUCGCAGAAUAAGCACCGGCUAACUCUGUUCCAGCAGCCGCGGUAAUACAGAGGGUGCAAGCGUUAAUCGGAUUUACUGGGCGUACAGCGCGCGUAGGUGGCCAAUUAAGUCAAAUGUGAAAUCCCCGAGCUUAACUUGGUAAUUGCAUUAGAUACUGGUUGGCUAGAGUAUGGGAGAGGAUGGUAGAAUUCCAGGUGUAGCGGUGAAAUGCGUAGAGAUCUGGAGGAAUCCCGAUGGCGAAGGCAGCCAUCUGGCCUAAUACUGACACUGAGGUGCGAAAGCAUGGGGAGCAAACAGGAUUAGAUACCCCAGUAGUCC
rnacentral:rRNA from 1 species